rnacentral:rRNA from 1 species
CUACGGUGCUGAAGCAACAAAUGCCCUGCUUCCAGGAAAAGCCUCUAAGCAUCAGGUAACAUCAAAUCGUACCCCAAACCGACACAGGUGGUCAGGUAGAGAAUACCAAGGCGCUUGAGAGAACUCGGGUGAAGGAACUAGGCAAAAUGGUGCCGUAACUUCGGGAGAAGGCACGCUGAUACGUAGGUGAAGUCCCUUGCGGAUGGAGCUGAAAUCAGUCGAAGAUACCAGCUGGCUGCAACUGUUUAUUAAAAACACAGCACUGUGCAAACACGAAAGUGGACGUAUACGGUGUGACGCCUGCCCGGUGCCGGAAGGUUAAUUGAUGGGGUUAGCGGUAACGCGAAGCUCUUGAUCGAAGCCCCGGUAAACGGCGGCCGUAACUAUAACGGUCCUAAGGUAGCGAAAUUCCUUGUCGGGUAAGUUCCGACCUGCACGAAUGGCGUAAUGAUGGCCAGGCUGUCUCCACCCGAGACUCAGUGAAAUUGAACUCGCUGUGAAGAUGCAGUGUACCCGCGGCAAGACGGAAAGACCCCGUGAACCUUUACUAUAGCUUGACACUGAACAUUGAGCCUUGAUGUGUAGGAUAGGUGGGAGGCUUUGAAGUGUGGACGCCAGUCUGCAUGGAGCCGACCUUGAAAUACCACCCUUUAAUGUUUGAUGUUCUAACGUUGGCCCCUAAUCGGGGUUGCGGACAGUGUCUGGUGGGUAGUUUGACUGGGGCGGUCUCCUCCUAAAGAGUAACGGAGGAGCACGAAGGUUGGCUAAUCCUGGUCGGACAUCAGGAGGUUAGUGCAAUGGCAUAAGCCAGCUUGACUGCGAGCGUGACGGCGCGAGCAGGUGCGAAAGCAGGUCAUAGUGAUCCGGUGGUUCUGAAUGGAAGGGCCAUCGCUCAACGGAUAAAAGGUACUCCGGGGAUAACAGGCUGAUACCGCCCAAGAGUUCAUAUCGACGGCGGUGUUUGGCACCUCGAUGUCGGCUCAUCACAUCCUGGGGCUGAAGUAGGUCCCAAGGGUAUGGCUGUUCGCCAUUUAAAGUGGUACGCGAGCUGGGUUUAGAACGUCGUGAGACAGUUCGGUCCCUAUCUGCCGUGGGCGCUGGAGAACUGAGGGGGGCUGCUCCUAGUACGAGAGGACCGGAGUGGACGCAUCACUGGUGUUCGGGUUGUCAUGCCAAUGGCACUGCCCGGUAGCUAAAUGCGGAAGAGAUAAGUGCUGAAAGCAUCUAAGCACGAAACUUGCCCCGAGAUGAGUUCUCCCUGACUCCUUGAGAGUCCUGAAGGAACGUUGAAGACGACGACGUUGAUAGGCCGGGUGUGUAAGCGCAGCGAUGCGUUGAGCUAACCGGUACUAAUGAACCGUGAGGCUUAACCUUACAAC